CAAAUACUCCCUCCGUCCGGAAAUACUUGUCAGCAAAAUGGAUAAAAGGAAAUGUAUCUAGACGUAUUUUAGUUUUAGAUACAUCUCUUUUUAUCCAUUUUGAUGACAAGUAUUUUCAGACGGAGGGAGUAGAAA
rnacentral:pre_miRNA from 1 species